rnacentral:rRNA from 1 species
UACGUAGGGCGCAAGCGUUGUCCGGAAUUAUUGGGCGUAAAGAGCUCGUAGGCGGUUUGUCGCGUCUGCUGUGAAAACUCGAGGCUCAACCUCGGGCUUGCAGUGGGUACGGGCAGACUAGAGUGCGGUAGGGGAGACUGGAAUUCCUGGUGUAGCGGUGGAAUGCGCAGAUAUCAGGAGGAACACCGAUGGCGAAGGCAGGUCUCUGGGCCGCAACUGACGCUGAGGAGCGAAAGCAUGGGGAGCGAACGGG